rnacentral:tRNA from 2 species
GGAAGGGUGGCUGAGCGGUUGAAAGCGCACGACUCGAAAUCGUGUAGGGGUGAAAGCUCCUCGUGGGUUCAAAUCCCACCCCUUCCGCCA